AGCGUUGCUCGGAAUUACUGGGCGUAAAGGGCGCGUAGGCGGCACUGUUAGUCAGGCGUGAAAGUCCUGGGCUCAACCUGGGAACUGCGCUUGAUACGGCAGAGCUAGAGGAUGGAAGAGGCUCGCGGAAUUCCCAGUGUAGAGGUGAAAUUCGUAGAUAUUGGGAAGAACACCGGUGGCGAAGGCGGCGAGCUGGUCCAUUACUGACGCUGAGGCGCGACAGCGUGGGGAGCAAACAGG
rnacentral:rRNA from 1 species